UACGAAGGGUGCUAGCGUUGUUCGGAAUCACUGGGCGUAAAGCGCGCGUAGGCGGUUUAGCAAGUCAGAGGUGAAAGCCCAGGGCUCAACCCUGGAAUUGCCUUUGAAACUGCUAAACUAGAGUGUCGGAGGGGAUAGCGGAAUUCCUAAUGUAGAGGUGAAAUUCGUAGAUAUUAGGAGGAACACCGGUGGCGAAGGCGGCUAUCUGGACGACAACUGACGCUGAGGCGCGAAAGCGUGGGGAUCAAACAGG
rnacentral:rRNA from 1 species